GUACCAAGAUGGCGGCUCCCAGAAGCUUGGCUCUAUGGAACUAUUGCAGUCGUAGGUGGUGGCGGGUGAUGCGGGGCUGUCAGCUCCUCGGGCUUCGUGGUUCUUGGCCCCAAAGAGAAGCAGGUAACGGAAACUCACUUUGGGUUUCAGACUGUGUCGGAAGAGAAAAAGUGGGGCAAAGUCCAUCAGGUGUUUGAAAGUGUGGCUAAGAAGUAUGAUGUGAUGAAUGAUAUGAUGAGUCUUGGUAUCCAUCCUCUUUGGAAGGAUUUACUGCUCUGGAAUAUACAUCCACUUCCUGGGACCCAGCUGCUUGAUGUUGCUGGAGGCACAGGUGACAUUGCAUUCCGGUUCCUAAAUUAUGUUCAGUCCCAGCAUCAGAGAAAACAGAAGAGUCAGUUAAGGGCCCAACAAAGUUUAUCCUGGGAAGAAAUUGCCAAAGAGUACCAGAAUGAAGAAGAUUCCUUGGGUGGGUCUCAUGUCAUGGUGUGUGACAUCAACAAGGAGAUGCUAAAGGUUGGAAAGCAGAAAGGAUACAGAGCUGGACUUGCAUGGGUAUUAGGAGAUGCCGAAGAACUUCCCUUUGAUGAUGACAAGUUUGAUAUUUACACCAUUGCCUUUGGGCUUCGGAAUGUCACACACAUUGAUCAGGCACUCCAGGAAGCCCAUCGGGUACUGAAACCAGGAGGACGGUUUCUGUGUCUGGAAUUUAGCCAAGUGAACAAUCCCCUCAUAUCCAGGCAUUAUGAUCUAUAUAGCUUCCAGGUCAUCCCUGUCCUGGAGAGGUCAUUGCUGGAGACUGGAAGUCCUAUCAAUACCUUGUAGAGAGUAUCCAAAUGUUCCUGUCUCAGAAAGAGUUCAAGGAGAUGAUAGAAGAUGCAGGCUUUCACAAGGCCACUUAUGAAAGUCUAACAUCAGGCAUUGUGGCCAUUCAUUCUGCCUUCAAACUUUAAUUCCUUUCUAAUCAUGGAGCAUGAACCAAUUACACCCUGUUGAAAGCCUGGAACU